GGCGCGGCAGCGCGAAACUGGCAGGCUUGAGUCUUGUAGAGGGGGGUAGAAUUCCAGGUGUAGCGGUGAAAUGCGUAGAGAUCUGGAGGAAUACCGGUGGCGAAGGCGGCCCCCUGGACAAAGACUGACGCUCAGGUGC
rnacentral:rRNA from 1 species